CGGCAUGCUUUACACAUGCAAGUCGAACGGCAGCGGGUACUUCGGGAUGCCGGCGAGUGGCGAACGGGUGAGUAAUGCAUCGGAACGUACCUGGUCGUGGGGGAUAACACAGCGAAAGUUGUGCUAAUACCGCAUGAGACCUGAGGGUGAAAGCGGGGGCUCGCAAGACCUCGCGCGACUGGAGCGGCCGAUGUCAGAUUAGCUAGUUGGUAGGGUAAAGGCCUACCAAGGCGACGAUCUGUAGCGGGUCUGAGAGGAUGAUCCGCCACACUGGGACUGAGACACGGCCCAGACUCCUACGGGAGGCAGCAGUGGGGAAUUUUGGACAAUGGGCGCAAGCCUGAUCCAGCCAUGCCGCGUGAGUGAAGAAGGCCUUCGGGUUGUAAAGCUCUUUCAGCCGGGAAGAAAUCGCACGGGUUAAUACCCUGUGCGGAUGACGGUACCGGAACAAGAAGCACCGGCUAACUACGUGCCAGCAGCCGCGGUAAUACGUAGGGUGCGAGCGUUAAUCGGAAUUACUGGGCGUAAAGCGUGCGCAGGCGGAUGCUUAAGUCA
rnacentral:rRNA from 1 species